rnacentral:rRNA from 1 species
CCUACGGGAGGCAGCAGUGGGGAAUAUUGCACAAUGGGGGAAACCCUGAUGCAGCGACGCCGCGUGAGUGAAGAAGUAUUUCGGUACGUAAAGCUCUAUCAGUAGGGAAGAAAAUGACGGUACCUGACUAAGAAGCCCCGGCUAACUACGUGCCAGCAGCCGCGGUAAUACGUAGGGGGCAAGCGUUAUCCGGAUUUACUGGGUGUAAAGGGAGCGUAGACGGCAGCGCAAGUCUGGAGUGAAAUCCCAUGGCUUAACCAUGGAACUGCUUGGGAAACUGUGCAGCUAGAGUGCAGGAGAGGUAAGCGGAAUGCCUGGUGUAGCGGUGAAAUGCGUAGAUAUUAGGAGGAACACCAGUGGCGAAGGCGGCUUACUGGACUGUAACUGACGUUGAGGCUCGAAAGCGUGGGGAGCAAACAGGAUUAGAUACCCGGGUAGUC